CUUUGGUCAAUAAGGUUGGAGAAGACUUAUGUGGCCUUGGGACAGUGAGGGAAGAAGGACCAUGUGUUUUCUCUUAGUUAUUUCAGGUCCUCACCAUAAGGAGGCUAGUCUGAACUUGUUCAUAAGACCCUUGGUUUGGUGUCUGCUGAUGAAGAACAGGUCUCAUCUCAUUCCUUGUUCCCCCUUCCCUUGACCCUGAGGUAAAGUCCAGUUUCUGGGUCAUUUAUUCCAGGUUGCCAGUGGGCUUUUUCUGCUGAACUUCAGACCAUCACUGGUUCACUGGCUCACUGGGCACCUGACUUUCACCAUAUAGCAUAGCAUGUGAGAUUUUCUGGGUCCUCAGCUUCCUGUGUGCAGGAGACAGGGAGUUUCAUGCUUUCUGCAAGCACAUUUCUCUGCCAGUGCUUUGUUCCACAUGGGUGUGUCACCUAUGUGGGCAUAUUAGUUUUCUUUCUGCUGUCAAAUUUCUACAAACUUAUUGUUUGAAGCCAGCAGAAAUAUAUUAU
rnacentral:lncRNA from 1 species